UAUGGCUGAGGCUGACGCUCUUGUUGUUCAGAACGUUGUGAGUGUCUGUGACUGAAGAGGUGGGAGGCACUGCUCUACUUUAAGUAAAAGUCUACUCUAUAAAAAUAAAAGAUUUGAACCGACAGAGAGGAAAAAAGAUCUAAUCCCCCUGGCCCCCAACCAUUAUAUCCUGCUUUUUGUCAAAAAAAACGCCCAAGCAACAUGGGAAAAGGUGAGAGCGAGGAGUGGGAUGAAAAGCACCCUGACACGGUACAAAGCCAGCCUCGGAAACAUGAAGAGGAGCAGAAAGGUGAAAGCUCGGGGAGCAAGUGUCCCACAUGCUGCUUAAAGACAAGGGACUGUCUGAUGAGCGGGGAGUGCGCCCGGUGCCUUCAGAUCUCAAGCGUCAUCUCCUUCUGUGGGAUGUGCAUCCGCAUGUGGAUAUAACCCAACGUUGGAUUUCAGGACCUGCUUUUACCGGCCGUGGUGAUUCUCAGCAACCUCCAGUAAUUCUCAUUCGGAUUUGCCCCUGAAGUUCUCUCUAAGUCUCUUUUUUCAUGUUUAUGUAUGUGAGAUAAACAAAUGAACUGUCUGUAUUUUGUACAUAAAACAAACUUUGGCGAUCAAUAUGAAGGACUGUAACUUUUAUCUGCAUGUCUUUGCAAAGAGGUUCAUUUUGGAGCCUAUUGACCGCUAAAAUUGCUACAGUAUGUAGCCAGUCUAAAUUUAUUAUUGUUAAAAAAAUAUAUACUAAGAGGUGUUUAAUGAUGUAAAAAAAAAAACGAAGUGAUUUUACA